rnacentral:ncRNA from 22 species
UCCUGCGGCUCUGCUUCAGGUGUCCCAAGGGUAUCCACCCCCAAGGGAUGAAACGGGAAGCCGGUACGUACUGGUGAAAAUCAGAACAAUUCCGGCGCUGCCCCCGCAACGGUAGGCGAGUUGCGGCGGAUCAUACAGCCACUGCGUUUCGACGUGGGAAGGCGAUCCGCCAGGGUCUGCAAGACCACUCGCAAGCCCGGAGACCGGCCUGGAGCCCAAGGAACCUC